ensembl:ncRNA lncRNA:CR44997 long non-coding RNA:CR44997
GCGCGUUUUCCAACUGCUCCGGUCCAGCGGACAGGCGACGCUCGAAUUUCGCACGUCAGACAUUGUAGAGCUUUGGCGAGUGCUAAGAAGUGUAUGUAUGAGGAGCUAUCGUUCACCAAACUCCACUCGAAAAUCAAAAGUGAAAUUAUUCGAAAAAUAUAUCAUAAAAGUAUCAGUUUCUGUGACGUCCCGCGAGUGUUGAAUUAUUUUUUGAGUGCUUUGUGCGGGUGUAGCGCACUGUUUUGGCUAUAUUUUGUUGGAGUUCAAUGUGUGAGUGCAAAUUCGGAAACAGAAAGUGCAGCCCUCAAAAUACAACACACGUACCAGUUUUCUCGGAGCCGUAGAGUCCGAGGCAAUAGAAUAAGCGAUCCACAAUCACGAGUCAAUGUGUGAAGGCGGACUCUUCAGCGGCUGUGAAGGAGAGUAAUUGAUAAUAUUGAAUGCUGGCAGGACAUUGCCGAGUGAAAUCCAUUAUUCCGUGAAUGCCACGUGACCGUAAAGGUGAGUUGAAAAUAUUUUUAAUACGCUGCACCCAUCUAGGGAAUUGCCGACGGCUAAGACACAGAUACGGAUACGCGGCCGUAGAUACAGAUACAAAUACCAGGCCGAGAUACUCAUCCGAGACAGCUGUCUUGGCAUCUUAAGUGACCGCCCCGCUCCGCACCGCUCCGCCCCACCCCACACUAGCACUGUGAUAACAUAAGCAAUCGACCCAAAAACUUGGUCAAUUGGCAAUAAAAUCAAACGCGAAAAAAGUUCAAGAGCAGCGACAGCUCCAGUAAAAGGCAUGGAUGUGCGGAAACCGGAGUACGAGGGCUGGAAAAGUUCCUAGAUAAAGUCCAAGCGUGACUGGCAUUGAAAAACCAAGCUGGUCCCCG